CAGGUGAGGUCCUUGGGAAC
rnacentral:miRNA from 1 species